rnacentral:lncRNA from 1 species
GCCAGGACGGCUGGGGGCGCUGUCCACUCAGGACAAAGAAGCAAGUGCCCCGUUUUAGGGGAGCUGCCACCCAGGCUGGCUCAUCCCAUGCCCGUGAGGCGGGGGCAUGUCAGGUUUCCGGGCGGCAGGACAGACUGUGCAGAGCAAUAAAGUUCUUGCUACAGGAAGGUGGGGACAGGAGCCAGGUGGCCUGGGGCGGGCAGGGGCAGGUGUGCCGGGGUGUGGGCCCAGGCCCCCUGUGUGAGGUGGUGGGGCAGGCACUAGCCACUGCCGAAUCCACCCUGUGUCCCUCUGGGCCGGGAGGGGCCCUCAGCUCAGGUGGGGGGGCCCGAGGGUCAUGCAGCCCCAUGCCCACCUCCCGACGGCCCUUGCUUCCCCGACAGGGCUGAGGGUGAUUUGUGGUCCUUUGGGGAGAGGUUGCCAAGGCGGGGACCUGCCUCGGCCCUGCCAGCUCCCCUCAGCACCGGGAAGUGGAGGGACCCACAGGCAGUGCUCGGGGUGUCCAGCCCACGGGGCUCAGUCCAGGGCAGGGCCCAGAGCCCCGGGGGCCCGGGGGGGACCAGCCUGGGGCGCCGCUCCUUUCUCUGGGGCCUGGGUUCCUACGCUGAGUGUGGUGGGGGCAGCCGCACACGGUUGGGACCUCGGCGAGGGGGGGCCCCAGCAGCGCUGUGGCAGGGACCUCUCUGAGGCUGCCCAGUGCCAGUCCGGGGCAGCAAACACCAGCGACUCCGCCUUCUGGAGCCUUCUGAGCUGUGAAGCCAGUGACUGCUGUCCUGAGUUUUCGUUGCUGAAGCCAAAGCCGCUGGGGAAGCCUGUCCUUCCAAGGACAAGUGGGUGCAGGGCCACUGGUGCCUUAACGGGGGCUCCAGAUUCAUCUGAGGAGGCAGGCAUUGCAGGGCCACCUGGCGGGUGCGGGAGCCAGCCUGGCGGGGCCCUGGCGGGGCCCUGCCCUCAUGCACCAAGGCGAGUGGGAAAGGUGUGAGCUCCGAUCACUGUUUCCACUGGAAAAGCAGCCCCAUUUUGAAUGCUGGCUCCAAGCUUUCAAAAAAUUACAAAUAUAUCCAUUUUCCUGAUGAGAGCUCACUCGAUGACAACCGAGACCAAGGGAGGC